CAAGUCAAACGGCAGCUUUUUCUGUAGCAAUACAAAGAGAUGGCGAGGGGCGGACGGGUGAGUAACGCGUAGGAAUCUGCCUGGAAAAUGAGGAUAACUUGGGGAAACUCAAGCUAAUACUGAAUAAUCCCGAGAGGGGAAAGGUUGCGCAAGCACCCGCUUUCAAAUGACCCUGCGUUGGAUUAGCUAGUUGGGGGGGUAAAGGCCUACCAAGGCGAUGAUCCAUAGCUGUUCUGAAAGGAAGGACAGCCACACUGGGACUGAAACACGGCCCAAACUCCUACGGGAGGCAGCAGUGGGGAAUCUUGGACAAUGGGGGCAACCCUGAUCCAGCGAUGCCGCGUGUGUGAAAAAGGCCUUCGGGUUGUAAAGCACUUUAAAGGGGGAGGAGUAGUUACUUUUGAAUAGGAAGUAAUGAGGACGUUAACCCUGGAAUAAGCACCGGCUAACUCUGUG
rnacentral:rRNA from 1 species